AUUGAACGCGGGCGGCAGGCCUAACACAUGAAAGUCGAACGAGUGGCGGACGGGUGCGUAAUGGCUGGGAAACUGGCCAAUGGAGGGGGAUAACUACUGGAAACGGUAGCUAAUACCGCAUACCAUCGGAUGAGCCCAGAUGGGAUUUGCUAGUAGGUGGGGUAAUGGCUCACCUAGGCGACGGUCCCUAGCUGGUCUGAGAGGAUGACCAGCCACACUGGAACUGAGACACGGUCCAGACUCCUACGGGAGGCAGCAGUGGGGAAUAUUGCACAAUGGGCGCAAGCCUGAUGCAGCCAUGCCGCGUGUAUGAAGAAGGCCUUCGGGUUGUAAAGUACUUUCAGCGAGGAGGCGUUACUCGCAGAAGAAGCACCGGCUAACUCCGUGCCAGCAGCCGCGGUAAUUC
rnacentral:rRNA from 1 species